CAUUGCAAAUGGCAGGAUUUCUUUUCUUUUUAUGGCUGAAUAAUAUUCCUCUGUGUAUAUGUACCACUUCUUCUUUAUCCACUCAUCAGUUGAUGGACACUUAAGUUGCUUAUGUAUCUUAGCUGUUGCAAAUAGCACAGAGAUAAACAUAGGGGUGCAUAUGUCUUUUUGAAUCAGGGAUCUUGUUUUCUUUGGGUAAGUUCCUAGGAAUGGAAUGACUGGGUCAAAUGAUAUUUGUUUUAUUAGUUUUUGAAGAACCUUCAUAUUUCUUCCACAACAUUUGCACCAAUUUACAUUCCCACCAACAGUGUACGAGGAUUCUGCUUUCUACACAUCCUUUCCAGCAUGUGUUAUUUCUUAUCUUUGUCUUUUAGAUAAUCUCCACUUCUUUUUAUCUAUUUAUUGGAAAAGAUAUAAAACCCUUGGUAGCAAUAGCCACAGUCUAGUUCUUCAAGAUUCAAAUUUAUGACCAAGGAUUUUACAAUGAACCAAAGGAUUGUAAAGGUUACAAUUCCAGAGCCACCUUGAGAUGGUUGGAGGUAACUCUCAGGAGCUUGUGGAGCAGCCUAAUGAUCUGAGAUCCUGGCCCCAUGAUACAGUUCACACCGUCAGCUAGAGGCUCAUAGGUGUGGCCUGCUUGGGCUGCACAAAGUUCACAUACAUGUGCUCAGGAGUGGAACUUAACUCCUUUUGAGGUUUGAGGCUCUGUGAAAACCUGGUAGAAAACACAGCAGCACAAAAGUGAUUCCUUCUACCAAUGCCUUAUCUAGAAAGGCAUUUCUUUAUAGCUAAAAUUCUACCCAUUUCAGGGUGAGACCUAAAGACCAUCUUUUUGGUGAAUUAAUCUCUGUGUUUUUGCCUUAACUGCAGUACCAGGUCACCUUCACCCAUCCAGCUCAAGGUCAACCACAGAAGUCAGCUCCCAAAAGCCUGUGAUGAACCAAAGCUUAGAGAAGCUAAAGACCAAGUCUGAACACUGAGUUGCUGGGAUCUGAACACAGGCAGGCUAACAGCAAAGCCCAUGGACCCAUCCUCCCCACCGCCUCACCCAGCAAGAGGUGCCCCUCUGUGCUUGAGGAUUUCCUCAAAGGGAGAAGAGGACGUAACAAGAGUGGGGUCUGGAGGCAGAGGUCACUGGCCAGUGGUCUGUGAGGAGACGUCAGGGGACAAGAUACCAAGAGCAGCAGCCUACGUUCCCAGGGCCUGGUUCCCUGGGGCUUGGCCUGGUUGUCUGGAAGUCAUACUGCCCUCCCAGCCCUUGGACUUGACCCUGUCUGUACCAUGGAAUAAAGGAAGGCUGCUGCCCUUCUAACUAAAAA